GAUGAACGCUGGCUACAGGCUUAACACAUGCAAGUCGAGGGGAAACGACGGGGAAGCUUGCUUCCCCGGGCGUCGACCGGCGCACGGGUGAGUAACGCGUAUCCAACCUGCCUCUGACUGAGGGAUAACCCGUCGAAAGUCGGCCUAAUACCUCAUGGCAUCGUCUGCGGGCAUCCAACGACGAUUAAAGAUUUCAUCGGUCAGGGAUGGGGAUGCGUCUGAUUAGCUUGUUGGCGGGGUAACGGCCCACCAAGGCUACGAUCAGUAGGGGUUCCGAGAGGAAGGUCCCCCACAUUGGAACUGAGACACGGUCCAAACUCCUACGGGAGGCAGCAGUGAGGAAUAUUGGUCAAUGGGCGAGAGCCUGAACCAGCCAAGUAGCGUGCAGGAUGACGGCCCUAUGGGUUGUAAACUGCUUUUAUGCGGGGAUAAAGUGAGGGACGUGUCCUUCAUUGCAGGUACCGCAUGAAUAAGGACCGGCUAAUUCCGUGCCAGCAGCCGCGGUAAUACGGAAGGUCCUGGCGUUAUCCGGAUUUAUUGGGUUUAAAGGGAGCGUAGGCCGUGGAUUAAGCGUGUUGUGAAAUGCAGGUGCUCAACGUCUGCACUGCAGCGCGAACUGGUCCACUUGAGUGUGCGCAACGCAGGCGGAAUUCGUCGUGUAGCGGUGAAAUGCUUAGAUAUGACGAAGAACUCCGAUUGCGAAGGCAGCUUGCGGGAGCACAACUGACGCUGAAGCUCGAAAGUGCGGGUAUCGAACAGG
rnacentral:rRNA from 1 species